CAAGGGGCAGCAGUAUAUGGCGCCUGGGCCUAGGCAGAACCUGAUGGAGCCUGACAGCAGUAUAUUGAGCUUUAUCCUGACAGAACCAUGCCGAUUUUCCGUCACCAAAGCUGAGUAACUUGGAACUUUCAAGGAACAUUAAAAAGCAGAGGCGUGUGUAUUACUCUAACAAGUCUCAGAGCAUGGAUCUGUUCUGAAGAUGUAUUGCAGCAAUACUCCAGCAAAGUGAGAUGCCAAUAAUGGAGCAGGAGAAGUCUAUGAUCAGCUAUAUUACUCACAGCCAGAUACUCAUGAGAGGAAGAGUGCAGGUGCAGCUACAAUGGGGUAUACUUCGAAGAUGAAACUCAGACCAUGUACAGAUGGAAUAAGGCUUUGCCAGGAAACCAUGGAAAGCUGAUAUAUAAAUAGUAAAACAGCAAUUUCUAGAAAAUAUAUUUGACACACAGCUGCCGGAGCUGCAUUUUGUGUAACAGGGCUCAUGAAGUGAAAAGUGUCACUAUUAGUUAUACUAUAUCAAACUGGUCAAACAUAAUUUUUAGCUGAAAUAAAGCAAUUCUAUUUCCUGGAAA